ensembl:miRNA
GCCGUGGCGGGAAGGGAUGGGCGCGUGCGCGGGCUCCGCCUCACCGCCGUCUGCCGCCCAGCCAGGC